AUUGCUAAGUUGGCAACACUGUAUGAAACUUGGUGUGUUACAUCUCAAACACAACUCUUGGGAAAGUUUACCUCAUCAAACUGUGCUACUAAACUCAGCUUGUAGAGGGCGCUGUCACCAUUUGAAGGCGAUUUUCGAUGCUAAAAUGCUUUCUGAACAUGCAGAUAUAAAACAUUGCUCUGUUUGUAUACAUAUAAACAAACAAAUAUAGAAAAUAAUCGAGUCGAAAAAACAUGAAGGUAGUUUUCAGCUAAUAAGCAGCCCGCGGUUAAAGGAGUACGAGCCUCUCAUCAUGUCUAAACCGAAGACAGACUGCAGCGAAAGUUUUGUUUUUGGGGUUUUGAAAUGGAACAAAAGAGUUGGUCGGAUGGGACAGAUGAAACUCCACUUCAGAAAACUACAGAAUUCUCAGCAGUAGCACUUCCUCUAAGAGACGCUAUAAACUUCAACCUGAACACAAGUUUAAUCUGAACACACGAUCAACAAGCUCAAGAAUGAAGACGCUGCUGCUUUCACUGCUCUGUAAGUUUAUUUCUGUGUGACUGAGUGUGAUUCUGUCAUGAUCUGAAUGAUCUGUUUUCUGUUUCUUCAGGUCUGUUUGUGUGGAAUCAGUCCACAGAAGCUUUAACUGAUCAGCAGGUGGUUUUAGGGCAGAGUGUGACUUUAGCCUGCGAGUUUAAAUGUAAAGCCGCUAUAUGGUUUUUGUUGAAACUACCAGCUCGUCCAGAGAUGAUACUGUGAACAUUUGCAUCCAGUGAUGAUACUGAGACUGAUUAUUAUGAUGAAAAAUUCCGCAACAAAUAUUUAGAGGGAAACAGGAGCGAAUUAGUAAUCAAUAAUGUCACUGUUGCUGAUUUAGGAGUUUAUUACUGUAUAAAAGCAGGCUGGGCUUUAAAGAUCAGUGACGGUAUCAGACUGCACACCACUGAAGUCUGAGGUGAAGUUUGGUGAGCGUGACAGACCAGCAGCACUGUUGUUCCUGCUGAAUAUCUAGAAGUUCAUCCAAACUCUGUAUAUGAAACAGCUUCAUUCUGAGAGAUUGUGUUGAUUUAUCGCUGUUUGCUUCAAAUGAUCAGAAUUGAGAGCUGCUUGAACAUGUAAUGAAAUUAUGAUUCUCAAAGACUUUAAUUUGCUCUUUUCUGUUCAUAAUAAAACAUGACUAAAAUCUGUUUGCAAUUAAAAUGUCAAUCAAGUUUUAUAAUAACAUAUUCUUUUCGAAUAAAUCAAAUUUCUAAUGUUUUUGGUAGUUUAUUUCUGUCUCUGAGUGAUGAAUAAGCUGAUUUGAGUAUUUGUGCAUUUGUGGGUGCACUCUCCAAAUGCAAUUUCACCUUCAUGGAGUAAUUGAUGUGUUUUGUAGUUUUCUGAAGUGGAGUUUCGUCUGUUCUGCCCGAACAACAGCACUUUUACUUCUUACAUAAGAUUAAGUCGUUUCAUACAGUAAUGAGAGUAAAACAUGGUUAGCUUGACUGUUGUUUUAGAUUGACUGAUGUUUGUUACCUAAGCAUGUAUAAUGCAAAAUUCUCAAUAUUUUUUUCAGCAUGACUUUUCACUUUUGUCUUGAUAACUUAAUCUUAUGAGUGAAAUAUAAAUACAAG